GGGUGUGUGGCUCAGUCGGUAGAGUGCCUGCCUAGCAUGCAUGAGGCCCUGGGUUCAAUCCCCAGAACCG
rnacentral:tRNA from 1 species